UACAGAGGGUGCGAGCGUUAAUCGGAAUUACUGGGCGUAAAGCGCGCGUAGGCGGCUUUGCAAGUCGGGUGUGAAAUCCCCAGGCUUAACCUGGGAACUGCAUUCGAGACUGCAUUGCUAGAGUAUGGGAGAGGGAAGUGGAAUUUCCGGUGUAGCGGUGAAAUGCGUAGAUAUCGGGAAGGAACAUCAGUGGCGAAAGCGACUCCUGGACCAAUACUGACGCUCAUGUGCGGAAAGCGUGGGGAGCAAACAGG
rnacentral:rRNA from 1 species